rnacentral:tRNA from 1 species
CAAGAAAUAGUUUAUAAAAAUAUUAACUUUGGGAGUUAGUGAUAAAGAGGUUUCUUUUUUCUUGA